GAGAUGAUGUCCUGUAGAAGAAAAAAAAAAAAAUUAAAUGUAUGAGUUGCUCUAUCUGCAUGUACACCUGCAAGCCAGAAGAGGGCAUCAGAUCCCAGAUACAGAUGGUUGUGAGUCCCCAGGUAGUUACUAGGAAUUGAACUCAGGACCUCUAGAAGAGCAGUCAGUGCUCUUAACCACUGAGCCAUUUCACCAGCCCCCAUAGCAUUCUUAAUUUCCCUUCCCUUCCUUGCACACACACACACACACACACACACACACACACACACACACACACACACACUUUCCCUAUCUUACACCCCAUUUCCUUAAACCCUGUUCCUUGGUCCCCUCCUAAUAGGCCACAUUCGCACAAGAGCAGGAUUUGCGUGACCUGUUUCUGCCAUCUUCCCAGGGUCCUUAACAUUUAGCAAGCCAUGCUUCUUGGAAAGAACGUACGGCAAAGAGGAGCAGAGGCACUGCCCUUCAAAGACUGGGCUGCCUGAUUUCCUGAGCAGUAUUUCUGUCCAUUUUGGGAGAGGACGGAGGAGCAGGGGUGAUGGCUGAAUUUCACAAGGGAAACGACCAGUACCCUGAAGGACAUCCACAGCAGGCAAGAUCCCAGAUCAAAGCAGGGUGAGCUAAGGAGAAAGUCUAUGUGGAAAACUGCCCCUCCCCUGGGCUCGGAACUUACCAAUGAGUCCCAGGGAGAGCAGGUGUUGAAGGGAGUCAAUAGUCAUGAGUUAAAACGUCUUGAUUGUGAAGAAGAUUGGGAUACUUGGCUCCCAACAGCAGGCCUUUCUCAGGAGGGUCAGACAGUGCUAGUUAAAAUCUUGUAGAUAGGGAACUAUUUUAUUCCACUGUGAGCUUCGUGGUGGCAUGGUGUUAUCAUCCCAUAACUAAUGAAGUGAAUGUAGAUCCCAGAUGUGGACUUUAAUUAAUUUAAUCAGUUCCUUGUUCUGUAAGAGCCUGUCUCACUCACUCACUCUCUCCCUGUCCUAUGUCCUUCAUAAUCAAAUGGCUUUUUCUUGAACCUCAGUGCCCAGAUCCUCUAAACUGGUGGCAUUACAGAUGCUCACCCUCACUGCAGAGCUGUUUGCUCUUUAGCCACUUGAUAUGUGUUCAUUGAUGAGGGGGAAGAGGAAGAAGAGGAAGAGGAGGAGGAGGAAGAAGAGGAAGAGGAGGAGGGGGGAAGGAGGAGGAUGUGGGAGUGUGCUUCUUGUAAGACCUCUAAAGAGGCAGACAGGAAAAUCUACAGAGAAAGGAGAGACAGUUGAGUGACCCAAAGUCAUUGCUGGGUAGAAAUUCUCUGGUGUGCGGUUCUUUGGCCAGCAGUGACCUUGGAGAAAAUGUGAGGACCGUGUGUGCUAAAUAAACCAAAGACUGAUCAACAUCCAAAUGGACACAUGUUCUUCUGUGAACUAGCUGAAUUGUCUCCUGAUGUUCUCACAAACAAAAGUCAAGGUGGAUCCCUUGGGCAUUUCAAUUUUUUCAGGCUGCUGGUUGGCCUCGAUAAAUCCACAAAUCUAAAACAAUGGACUGUGGCCUUAGUGACACACAUGCCAUCUUUAAACUUUCGUGUUUAACCCUCUUUACUUCAAAACUUCAGACAAAUCUAGCACUCAUAUUGAACUCAGAAUAGUUUUCUUUGAGAAUGUGAAGAUUUUAAAUAGCCAAAGAUUUCUUCAUGUAAGAGCUAGCCCAUUGUAGUGUAUCCUGCUCUUUGAAGUAAAUACCAAAUUGUCGCCUAUUAGGGACAGAGCAGUUGAAGGCCAGUGCAUGGGCUUAGCAAUCCAAAUUUGUGUUGCUGUCUUCCGAACCUGUCUGUAGAAUUUUAUUGCAAGGGUCAGAGCGCCCUCUGCUGGUCUGAUACUUUCAGCAAAUUAAUUUGCAGUGGGUUUCCAAGUCAACAAAUGUGUCUUGCAUUUUCAUCGGUACCAUUCCUUCAAUAGUGGAGAAUUUGGCCAGCAGUUAUCAAAUGAAGAGAGAAUGUCUUGAACUCUAGAGAGCUGUAGGAGACCUCAAAGCAGGCCUGUUUUAAAACGUUGCUGUGUUCUGUUGCUGUCUGGGAUGUGUGUUGUCAGCAUUGCUCUGUGUGGCUUUGGCUCAGCUCCGCUUCCUCCCACGAAAUCGAGAAGGAAGAUCAAUAAGAGGACUUCUUCUUCCGUGUGAAUGUAAAUGGUGUGAAAUAAAGCGUUUUGUAUGUGUGCAGAAUCAGUUUAGUUCCUGCCUUCAGCUUACUAAUAGGAAAUGAUUGUACCAUUUUAUAAUUAGGAAGAAAUUUAGAGGUGGAAGAGGGUGGGGAGGGAGUGUUAUUUUUAUAGUGGGAUGUCCGUUAUGUUUAGAAAACUUGAGAUAAAUUUUGUAUUUGUGAAGUUACAUUCCAUCCAUUCCAGGGUGGGGGUUCUUUAAAACUCUCCUUAGGUGGAAGGAAGAAUUUUCUCAUUUGCAGAAUAUCCGGAAUGCAUGUGUCGCCUUCCGUGGCAUGCACUUCUGUAACCUGCAGACCAUAACCAGCAAGUGUCUGUUUAAAAGCAGGAAGUAGAGCAGCAUUUUUUUAAAACUCUCUUUGUGUGACACAUUAUCUGUGAUUAAAAAAAAAACUACAAAGAUAAUGGAUCUGUAAGUCUGGAAUAAUCAGACAUGAUGUUAUAAGUCGGCCUCCAGCAUCACCAACCCCAUGAGCAAAGAGAAAACCCAGGCCUUUCUUUCUCCACCCUAGUGGGAAUUAUUAGCUUCUGUUGUCAAAGGGUGAUGCCACAGUCAGUAUUCCCUUGAGCUUGCCUAUGAUGUCAUUUUGGCUGGUCUGAGGGUGGAGUGAAAGAUAGGCCCAUCUCACCUGUAAUCUGAGAUAGGACAGUGAAGGCAACCCUGACCUCACUGCCUGCUGACCCACCAAUCACAAGAACUGGCUCUGGCUGGUUUUUGUCUGAGGGAAUUUUGGACUUGAAGUUUGGUUCACUUUUCUUGUGCUGAAAUAUGGUGGUAGUGCGUUCUACAGCCACGCUGUGAAGACAUCACUUCCCCUCGGAGUCCCCUGAGUAUUUACAAGCCUCAGCAGGGCAGCAUAGCUAUGUUCUGUUUGCCGUUUGUUGGUUUGCUUCUGUAUAGGUCUCUUUCCUUCCUCCCAGCCCCAGAUGCCUACCCGACUCUUUUAAAGCACUUUAUAUCUCUUUAAAUACAAAGGAAAUUGGAAGGAAAAAAAAAACCCUAUGACUUUAAAGGAACCCAUCUUCUGUUAGGAAAUACAGACUUUAUUUUGCUUUGUUGUCUUCUUGGUGUGCUUGGAGAACAUCCACAGUUUAUGUGGUCCUGGGCGCGUGAUGAAAUGGUUAAGGAUGAGAGCUGGAGACAUUCAAUCAGACGUGACUAUUUUCAUUAUAUUAAAGAUUCUAAUGUAAAUAAAUGCAACUGUGUUCUGACCUAUGGGUCAAAAGAUAUAGCAAACUAUAAAGAUUUCAACACAGGAUUGUGACUUUCAGG
rnacentral:lncRNA from 1 species